GACGUAGGGCGCGAGCGUUGUCCGGAUUUAUUGGGCGUAAAGAGCUCGUAGGCGGCUUGUCGCGUCGAAUGUGAAAACUCGGGGCUCAACUCCGAGCUUGCAUUCGAUACGGGCAGGCUAGAGUUCGGUAGGGGAGACUGGAAUUCCUGGUGUAGCGGUGAAAUGCGCAGAUAUCGGGAAGAACACCCGUGGCGAAGGCGGCUCUCUGGGACGGUACUGACGCUGAGACGCGAAAGCGUGGGGAGCGAACAGG
rnacentral:rRNA from 1 species